ensembl:lncRNA
AUGAGUUUUCCUUUCUCUGCAUCCUCACCGACAUCAGUUCUUUUCUUUUCUUUUUUUUUGAGACGGGGUCUUGCUCUGUCACCCAUGCUGGAGUGGAGUGGCACGAUCAUGGCUCACUACAGCCUUGACCUCCUGGGAUCAGGCAAUCCUACCUUAGCCCCUCAAGUAGCUAGGACUACAGGUGUGCACCAUCAUGCCCUGCUAAUUUUUUACUUUUUUGUAGAGAUGGGGUCUCCCUAUGUUGCCAGGCUGAUCUCAAACUGCUGGCCUCAGGCUAUCCUCCCACUUCGGUUUCCCAAAGUGUUUAGAUUACAAGUGUGAGUCACAACAACUGGCCUGUUUGGUGAAUUCUCUGAGUAAUUUUUACCCCCGUUGUGUAGUAUAAAUAUGUCUUUGUAAAAUCGAGUGUAUCUGAGAAAGACUAAACAUCCUAUAGCAAUGGAGAAGAAAUAAGGGUAUCUUUGUAUCCCCAAUUGUAAAAGGAAUCCUGCAUAGUUUCUGACCCCAGCAUACCUCAAGUACCCUGUGGGAACUUCAGAAAGUCAUUUGAUUUAAUGUAAGUAUCUGGGUUAUAUUUUGUGUAUUGUCGAAACUCUUAUAGCCUCUUUACGGGUGUGGAAGCAGAGCAUAAAGGAACACACAGCUCUAUGAAUCUCUGGAGGGCUGUUCCAUUGGAAGAAUCCAUGCCUACCAGUACUUUGUAAGGCCAGAAUCUUCCUUGCAGCAUUUAUUCUGGAAAAAAAGAAAAGCUCUAUAUCAUUUCUUAGGGAAGGAGAUAAUGAAGAAAAAAAACACUGGUCUAGAUUCAGACUGACACAUUUAAAUCCUGGCCCUAUAUAUCAGCUAAAUGACCUGGAGCAAAGGAUUUCAUUUUUCUGAGUCAUAAUUUUCUUCUGUCUGCUUGAGUAAUAUCCUACCUAAAAUGUUGUUAAAAAGAUUAAAUUAUAUAAUACACAGGGAAACUGGCACAGGUAGGCAGAGUUCAUUAAAUUAUAGCUAGGAUUUUCCCCUCAAUUUCUUGAAAAUUUUGAGAUUAGCAUCUUCUCGGAAUUUAUGUAAGAUGAAGACUGAUGAAGCAGCAUGCUCUCUCAUACUGUAAAAUGUCACCUAUGUCAAGAUCACAUUGCAAUGUAGAAAGAUAGUAUUUGAUAAACCUUUUGUGUUUUAAUUAAAAUCUAUUAUUAAUGGUCUCUCUCUUAUGUUUAAUUUGGUCUUCUUAACUUGCGACUUGAAAAAUAUGUAACUGCUUAAGGUCUCUGCAGUUAGCUUGAACCACUAUCUGGAGUUCUUGAAUUCUAAAAUUAAAUAAAACCUUAAUAGGUUUUAUUGGGAUGAGAUAUUUUGCUUCUCUUCAGUAUAAUAAAAGAUUAUUUUUUCCAAAAUGUUGAGGGGAUUAUGGGAAUCAUGGACUUUUACCCAUGGUGUUGGCUCAUGCUAAGCAUGAGAAAGGUGGAGUUCGCCAAGAAACAUGGUUUCUUAGCCAAGCCAUCUCUGUAAUUCCUCCCAUGGCUACUCCUCUCUAGACUUUGAUAUUUCUUAUGCCUUUUAGCACCUUCAGGAACCUCUGUAAAUGAACCACUCUGUAUUCAAAACAAGACUACUAGAUUACCCAGUAGCUUCCAUGCUGAAGAAAGUAAUAAUAAUAAUAAUAAUUGAAUAGUAACAUUGAAU